CCCUGGGGGGUCGGCCCCAAGGGUGGAGCCAUGGGUUUUAUUUGGAAGCACCGGAAAAAACCUUUACCAGUUCUUGACUUCUUUGACCAACCCCUGGAGAAUGGGGUUUUCUUUGGGAACCGAAUUGACCAGUUGUGCAAGGUUGGUCUUCAGUUGGGUUCUGAGAAGGUGGGGUUAAUUCCGGCAAGAAGCGCAACCUUUGUUCUUAUUUGCCUUCAUUAGGUGGGCCAUUCUAGGUGGCUUGCGGUGGCCAACCGGAAGGAAGUGGGGAAGGAGGUCAAUUCUUCAUGCCCUAAGACCUUGGGCUCCCCACUGGUUCCAUUGGCCGUUCCAAGAAGUGCCAGGACCGCGAGUGGAAGCUAUCUUCUUAAACCGGUCUUCAUUUCGGAUGUUAGCCGGCAAUCGGCUUCCAGGAAGCGGGAUUGGUUGGUAUUGGCGAUUCACCAGGCGCCGGGGAUUAGGUUCCCGGCCUUGGUCCACACGGCCGGCCCCACCAGGGGAGUUUAAACACCGGAAGCGGUCGGGGAACCCUUUGGAGCCAGCCGCCUAAGGGGGACAGAGUAGAGGGUGAAGCAGAACAAUCAGGAGCACAGCCG
rnacentral:rRNA from 1 species